ensembl:lncRNA
GUGCAUUGAAACAGAGACAGCACUUAGAACACUGCACAGCCUGGUCCACAGCGUGUGUUCAGUGCACAGCGUAUCUGCUAGGCUAGGAGUAGUUUUUGCCAGUUUAUUAACAGGAGACUAAGCUCCCGGCAGGAAGGGUCUGCAUGGUCUUGUUUAUCACUGUGCCUUAGUACUUGACUAUUCAUUGUCUUUUUUUUUAAGGCUAACUUAUUAAUUUUUAAAUUUUUAAAGUUGUUAAAUUUUUCCCCUUUAGCUGCCCAGAAUUUAAAUUCUGUGACCAUAAGCUGAUUGCUCCCUAUUUUGAAGGCACCAGCAUGAACCUGAUUGAAUGUAAGAGCAGCAUGUGAUAAGGGCAGUUGGUCAUUAUUGAGUAUUUUUGCUGGCCAGAGCUAAGUGCUCUUCAUACAGAUCUCACUGAAUCUUCAACUCAAUCCCAUUUUACGGAUGAGGAAACCAAGGCCUAGUGGGGGCACCGGCCUCUCACAAGAGGACAUCUGGUGCAGUGUUUAAAAGCUGGGGCUCUGGAGUUCCUCUGCCUGAGUUGAAUCCCCACCUUGUCACUUUCUGCCUCUGUGACCUCCAACCUGUGAUUUUUCUGCAUGCCAUGUUCUUCUUAUCUGUAAAGUAGGAAUGAUAAUAGUACCGACUUAGAGUGCAGCUCUGAGGCUUAGGGGUUGUUCACAUGCAGUGCUUAGAACAGCACCUUGUACAUGGUGAGCACUGGGGUUGUGGUGAUGGUUGUUAUUCUUAGCCAGCUCAGUUUUGCUUCCAGAGCAGGCUGGAGGAGCCCAGCAGCAGCGUUUAAUCAUUAACUAUCGCCUAUGAGCUGGCACCCCAUCUCUGAGCUGGCACUCCAUCUACAGGGGCCAGAGAGCCCACCUUUGGAUUAUGAGGCUCAGUGAAGCAGCCAGCUGCAAGCCCAGAACAGGGUAUGCCGUGGCACUCAUCCAGCCCUGGCUGCAUCUGUACAAACAGGUGGCCUGCUCCUGAAUCAGAGGUAACAGGCCAGGCGUCUUUGUUACCUUUGAGCUUUCUCUUAAGCCCAUUCAGACUCUCCAGACCCACGUGCCUGAUGAGUAAGGAAUCCUUUUAUUUUCCUCCUCCAAAGGGACUAGCAAAUCAGACCUCUUUGGGAAUGUGCCUGUUCACGAACACCAACCAUCUCCCAGGGAACUCUGGUGGCUGGCGCUUUCUUGCAGCAGUUGAAUAAGUUGCUGUUAGAAGCUGGCACGGCAGGUUCUUGUUUCCGCAUUCCAGACACCCACAGCAGCUGGGGGAGGCACCACCCUAGGUCGGCCUGAGAGCUCAUGCAGGUGGCCUUUGCCUUGGGAAGACCCAGGACAGGAGCCACACCUGGGGCCAGCCUAACAGUCACCUGCUUACUUUGUGAUCAGGGCUGUGUUCCGGGAUGCCUUUUAGAAAGGGUGGGUGGAGUGUUGAGGACGUGAGAAGAAAAUGGAGGCCAUUUCUCUCCAGAUGAGUUGGUGAGUCUUUUAAUUGAGCUUCUACUGAAUGCAGGCAUCUGUGCCAGGGACUGUGGGGCGUCCCAGCCUGGUUGGUACAGGCAAGCUGUGUGGCCCCGAGUGAGUUCUGUUCUUGAGUUCCUUCUUAUGAAAUAGGAAAUAAUCAGUAGCCACUGAGUCAUGGAGAUAGAGUGCGCAGAGCCUGGACAAGGAGUGGUGCUCAGUGUCGGCCAUCUCUUGUCGCCACACCUGCCCUUAGGUCCCCGGAUCCCUUGCUGACCUUACCUCUAGUUUGCUGUAUUCUGGCUGCUUUGGCCUCUGGUUGUUCCUCCCUUUGGCCCUCCCGUGGUGAUUCCCUACCCCCAGUGUCCCCAAAGCUGGCUCCUUCCUCCAGGACUCUGCUUAAAUGUCAUCUUAUUAGUAAGACUUCUUUCCUUAUUCAAUAGUGCCUUUUCAGUCAUGUUCUAGCCCUAAAUUUACUCUGCUUUAUUUUUCACUGCAGCAUUUAUUCACACUUGACUUAUUAUGUGCUUCUCAAGCGUAGACUCCAUGG